CCUACGGGAGGCUGCAGUGAGGAAUAUUGGUCAAUGGGCGGGAGCCUGAACCAGCCAAGUCGCGUGAGGGAAGACGGUCCUACGGAUUGUAAACCUCUUUUGCAGGGGAGCAACGGGGUCCUUGCGAGGGCCCGAUGAGAGUACCCGGAGAAAAAGCAUCGGCUAACUCCGGGCCAGCAGCCGCGGUAAUACGGAGGAUGCGAGCGUUAUCGGGCUUGAUUGGGGUUAAAGGGUGCGUAGGCGGGCUGUUAAGUCAGCGGUCAAAUGUCGGGACUAAACCCCGGCCUGCCGUUGAGACUGGCGGCCUCGAGUGGGCGAGAAGUAUGCGGAAUGCGUGGUGUAGCGGUGAAAUGCAUAGAUAUCACGCAGAACUCCGAUGGCGAAGGCAGCAUACCGGCGUCCGACUGACGCUGAGGCACGAAAGCGUGGGUAUCGAACAGGAUUAGAUACCCUUGUAGUC
rnacentral:rRNA from 1 species